rnacentral:rRNA from 1 species
ACUCCUGCGGGAGGCAGCAGUGGGGAAUUUUGGACAAUGGGCGAAAGCCUGAUCCAGCCAUGCCGCGUGCAGGAUGAAGGCCUUCGGGUUGUAAACUGCUUUUGUACGGAACGAAACGGCCUUUUCUAAUAAAGAGGGCUAAUGACGGUACCGUAAGAAUAAGCACCGGCUAACUACGUGCCAGCAGCCGCGGUAAUACGUAGGGUGCAAGCGUUAAUCGGAAUUACUGGGCGUAAAGCGUGCGCAGGCGGUUAUGUAAGACAGUUGUGAAAUCCCCGGGCUCAACCUGGGAACUGCAUCUGUGACUGCAUAGCUAGAGUACGGUAGAGGGGGAUGGAAUUCCGCGUGUAGCAGUGAAAUGCGUAGAUAUGCGGAGGAACACCGAUGGCGAAGGCAAUCCCCUGGACCUGUACUGACGCUCAUGCACGAAAGCGUGGGGAGCAAACAGGAUUAGAUACCCGUGUAGUCCCAUG